rnacentral:rRNA from 1 species
AGUGACAGCUGCUGAAAGGUGGUUUUCUUCGGACACUCUUCAAGGUGCUGCAUGGUUGUCGUCAGCUCGUGCCGUGAGGUGUCGGGUUAAGUCCCAUAACGAGCGCAACCCUUACUGUUAGUUGCCAGCGGGUAAAGCCGGGGACUCUAGCGGGACUGCCACCGUAAGGUGAGAGGAAGGUGGGGAUGACGUCAAAUCAGCACGGCCCUUAUGUCCAGGGCUACACACGUGUUACAAUGGCCGGUACAAAGGGCAGCUACACUGCGAAGUGAUGCUAAUCUCGAAAGCCGGUCCCAGUUCGGAUCGAAGUCUGCAACCCGACUUCGUGAAGUUGGAUUCGCUAGUAAUCGCGCAUCAGCCAUGGCGCGGUGAAUACGUUCCCGGGCCUUGUACACACCGCCCGUCAAGCCAUGGGAGCCGGGGGUACCUGAAGUCUGCAACCGCAAGGAGCGGCCUAGGGUAAAACUGGUGACUGGGGCU